rnacentral:rRNA from 1 species
AACGAACGCUGGCGGCAGGCUUAACACAUGCAAGUCGAACGAACAUAGCAAUAUGUUAGUGGCAGACGGGUGAGUAACGCGUGGGAAUGUGCCCUUUAGUUCGGAAUAACUCAGGGAAACUUGAGCUAAUACCGGAUAAGCCCGAGAGGGGAAAGAUUUAUCGCUGAAGGAGCAGCCCGCGUCUGAGUAGCUAGUUGGUGAGGUAAUGGCUCACCAAGGCGACGAUCAGUAGCUGGUCUGAGAGGAUGAUCAGCCACACUGGGACUGAGACACGGCCCAGACUCCUACGGGAGGCAGCAGUGGGGAAUAUUGGACCAUGGGGGCAACCCUGAUCCAGCCAUGCCGCGUGAGUGAUGAAGGCCUUAGGGUUGUAAAACUCUUUUAUCCGGGAAGAUAAUGACUGUACCGGAAGAAUAAGCCCCGGCUAACUUCGUGCCAGCCGCCGCCGUAA